UUCCUAGGACUUUUAAACUUAGUAUACAUCCAUAGGUAAUGGCUGCAAGUGAGAAUCUACUUUUUGAAACAAGUUGAAAAAAAGCAUUUGUCUACAAAAGAACAUCAGAUACUGCACUUUUUACAAAUUGAAUGUUUGUGGCAAGCCUGCAUCGAGAAAGUCCAUUGAUGCCAUUUUUUUCAAACAGAAAAGUAAAGAUGUUUCUGGAAGGCACCAGGAGUCCUGUCUGCACUGAGCACCAUGAAGUUCACCUGCAUUGAGUUCUUUCCCUUUGUACAACACUUACUCCCAGACCAAAAAAUAACUCCUUCUCUCCAAUCUGUGUUCCAGGCAAACCAAUAGACUCCAGUUGUCUCCCGAAAUGCUUAAAGUGCUUUUCCAAUAUCCACUAUGUUUGGGCAACAUAUUAAAAAUAUACAAC
rnacentral:lncRNA from 1 species